rnacentral:tRNA from 3 species
GCUGGUGCUCGACGAGCCGACCACGCCGCUCUCCUCGCGCGAGACCGACCGGCUGUUCGAUCUCGUCCGCCAGCUCC